rnacentral:rRNA from 1 species
CCUACGGGAGGCAGCAGUGAGGAAUAUUGGUCAAUGGUCGCGAGCCUGAACCAGCCAAGUAGCGUGAGGGAUGACUGCCCUGCGGGUUGUAAACUUCUUUUAUAAAGGAAUAAAGUGCGGCACGUGUGCCUUUUUGUGUGUACUUUAUGAAUAAGGAUCGGCUAACUCCGUGCCAGCAGCCGCGGUAAUACGGAGGAUCCGAGCGUUAUCCGGAUUUAUUGGGUUUAAAGGGAGCGUAGAUGGGUUGUUAAGUCAGUUGUGAAAGUUUGCGGCUCAACCGUAAAAUUGCAAUUGAUACUGGCAGUCUCGAGUACAGGUGAGGUAGGCGGAAUUCGUGGUGUAGCGGUGAAAUGCGUAGAUAUCACGAAGAACUCCGAUUGCGAAGGCAGCCUACUAAACUGCCACUGACAUUGAUGCGCGAAAGCGUGGGUAUCAAACAGGAUUAGAUACCCGGGUAGUC